AAGUAUAGUGUCUCAUACUUCGUAUUUGUGCUUUGCAUUUCACCCAAUCCAAGUGCACACACACAGCAGUGAGUAGUGAACACACACACCAUGAACACA